rnacentral:rRNA from 1 species
GACGAACGCUGGCGGCGUGCCUAAUACAUGCAAGUAGAACGCUGAAGGAGGAGCUUGCUUCUCUGGAUGAGUUGCGAACGGGUGAGUAACGCGUAGGUAACCUGCCUGGUAGCGGGGGAUAACUAUUGGAAACGAUAGCUAAUACCGCAUAACAGUAGAUGUUGCAUGACAUUUGCUUAAAAGGUGCAAUUGCAUCACUACCAGAUGGACCUGCGUUGUAUUAGCUAGUUGGUGGGGUAACGGCUCACCAAGGCGACGAUACAUAGCCGACCUGAGAGGGUGAUCGGCCACACUGGGACUGAGACACGGCCCAGACUCCUACGGGAGGCAGCAGUAGGGAAUCUUCGGCAAUGGACGGAAGUCUGACCGAGCAACGCCGCGUGAGUGAAGAAGGUUUUCGGAUCGUAAAGCUCUGUUGUAAGAGAAGAACGAGUGUGAGAGUGGAAAGUUCACACUGUGACGGUAUCUUACCAGAAAGGGACGGCUAACUACGUGCCAGCAGCCGCGGUAAUACGUAGGUCCCGAGCGUUGUCCGGAUUUAUUGGGCGUAAAGCGAGCGCAGGCGGUUAGAUAAGUCUGAAGUUAAGGCUGUGGCUUAACCAUAGUACGCUUUGGAAACUGUUUAACUUGAGUGCAAGAGGGGAGAGUGGAAUUCCAUGUGUAGCGGUGAAAUGCGUAGAUAUAUGGAGGAACACCGGUGGCGAAAGCGGCUCUCUGGCUUGUAACUGACGCUGAGGCUCGAAAGCGUGGGGAGCAAACAGGAUUAGAUGCCCUGGUAGUCCACGCCGUAAACGAUGAGUGCUAGGUGUUAGACCCUUUCCGGGGUUUAGUGCCGUAGCUAACGCAUUAAGCACUCCGCCUGGGGAGUACGACCGCAAGGUUGAAACUCAAAGGAAUUGACGGGGGCCCGCACAAGCGGUGGAGUAUGUGGUUUAAUUCGAAGCAACGCGAAGAACCUUACCAGGUCUUGACAUCCCUCUGACCGCUCUAGAGAUAGAGCUUUCCUUCGGGACAGAGGUGACAGGUGGUGCAUGGUUGUCGUCAGCUCGUGUCGUGAGAUGUUGGGUUAAGUCCCGCAACGAGCGCAACCCCUAUUGUUAGUUGCCAUCAUUCAGUUGGGCACUCUAGCGAGACUGCCGGUAAUAAACCGGAGGAAGGUGGGGAUGACGUCAAAUCAUCAUGCCCCUUAUGACCUGGGCUACACACGUGCUACAAUGGCUGGUACAACGAGUCGCAAGCCGGUGACGGCAAGCUAAUCUCUUAAAGCCAGUCUCAGUUCGGAUUGUAGGCUGCAACUCGCCUACAUGAAGUCGGAAUCGCUAGUAAUCGCGGAUCAGCACGCCGCGGUGAAUACGUUCCCGGGCCU